rnacentral:rRNA from 1 species
GAUGAACGCUGGCGGCGUGCCUAAUACAUGCAAGUCGAGCGAAUGGAUUAAGAGCUUGCUCUUAUGAAGUUAGCGGCGGACGGGUGAGUAACACGUGGGUAACCUGCCCAUAAGACUGGGAUAACUCCGGGAAACCGGGGCUAAUACCGGAUAACAUUUUGAACCGCAUGGUUCGAAAUUGAAAGGCGGCUUCGGCUGUCACUUAUGGAUGGACCCGCGUCGCAUUAGCUAGUUGGUGAGGUAACGGCUCACCAAGGCAACGAUGCGGAGCCGACCUGGGGGGGUGAUCGGCCACACUGGGACUGAGACACGGCCCAGACUCCUACGGGAGGCAGCAGUAGGGAAUCUUCCGCAAUGGACGAAAGUCUGACGGAGCAACGCCGCGUGAGUGAUGAAGGCUUUCGGGUCGUAAAAUUCUGUUGUUAGGGAAGAACAAGUGCUAGUUGAAUAAGCUGGCACCUUGACGGUACCUAACCAGAAAGCCACGGCUAACUACGUGCCAGCCGCCGCGGUAA